GGGGAAUAUUGCACAAUGGGCGAAAGCCUGAUGCAGCAACGCCGCGUGAGUGAUGAAGGUUUUCGGAUCGUAAAGCUCUGUCUUCUGGGAAGAUAAUGACGGUACCAGAGGAGGAAGCCACGGCUAACUACGUGCCAGCAGCCGCGGUAAUACGUAGGUGGCGAGCGUUGUCCGGAUUUACUGGGCGUAAAGGGUGCGUAGGCGGAUGUUUAAGUGAGAUGUGAAAUACCUGGGCUUAACCCGGGGGCUGCAUUUCAAACUGGACAUCUGGAGUGCAGGAGAGGAGAAUGGAAUUCCUAGUGUAGCGGUGAAAUGCGUAGAGAUUAGGAAGAACACCAGUGGCGAAGGCGAUUCUCUGGACUGUAACUGACGCUGAGGCACGAAAGCGUGGGUAGCAAAC
rnacentral:rRNA from 1 species